GCGAAGCAGAGAGAGGUUUGCACUUUGCAGAGAGCAGAGAAAGGAAAAGGGGCAAAAGGGCUGAAGAAGAAGAGAGAUGUGGGAAUCUAUUGUUUUGACGGUGGUUGCCACCGCCGGCAACAACGUCGGCAAGAUCCUUCAGAAGAAGGGCACACUCAUUCUCCCCCCUCUCUCUUUCAAGCUCAAGGUCAUAAAGGCAUAUGCUUCAAACAAAACCUGGUUGAUAGGUUUUCUUAUGGACAUAAUUGGGGCACUGUUGAUGUUAAGGGCACUUUCUCUAGCUCCUGUCUCUGUUAUCCAACCAGUUUCUGGCAGUGGACUGGCCAUUCUUUCGAUCUUUUCGCAUUUUUAUCUUAAGGAAGUCAUGAAUGUUGUUGAUUGGGUUGGCAUUACCUUGGCAGGUUUUGGCACAAUAGGAGUUGGUGCUGGAGGUGAGGAGCAAGAGGCUUCUGCUCUAUCCAUUUUACAUAUACCGUGGCUGGCAUUUGUCGUUUUCAUCUUGUUUAUACUACUUAGUGCAUGGCUUCGUAUAUGCAAACGUCAUCGCAGAGAACAAGAGAUGAUGGAAUAUGAUGUUGUUGAGGAAAUCAUAUAUGGCUUGGAAUCUGGAAUUCUGUUCGGGAUGGCUUCUGUAAUUUCGAAGAUGGGAUUUUUAUUCCUGGAGCAAGGUUUCCCCAGCCUGUUGGUUCCUAUGUGCAUCAUCAUCAGUGUAUUCUUUAGUGGUGCAGGCUUAUUCUACCAGACACGCGGCCUAAAGCAUGGGAGGGCUAUUAUAGUUUCUACAUGUGCAGCUGUGGCAUCAAUUUUGACUGGUGUACUUGCUGGGAUGCUUGCUUUAGGCGAGCGACUCCCUUCGGCCCCAAAAGCUCGUUUCGCACUUCUUCUUGGAUGGCUGCUUAUCAUUGUUGGCGUGGUUUUACUCGUGGGUUCAAAAAGGCUGGUGAGAUUUCUUAGAGUUCCUUCGCGCCGCUUUAAGAAUUAUGGCACUCGAAGAGCCGGGACAUCCCGUAUCAAGGAACCAAGCCCAACUGCUGUCGUUCAAGCAGCAACCUUGAAUCAUUUACUAUCAUCAGCUUCAAAAGAAAAAGCUUGAUUUGAAGUUAGCUGGAAAAUGAUCCUUCAUCCAUUCCCAACAAGAAAAAAAAGAAAGAUGGGAGGUGGGGGUUGUCUUGGUAGGUUGAUUUUGUGUAUAGUUGGUUCUUUCAUCAGAGGGCAUGAAUUUUCAAGGAUCAUUCCUUCUAGCUAACACAAUUUAAGUUCUGAAGAGAAGGAGCCAUAGAAUUUUCUCCACUGUGAAGAAAGGUCCACCAUGACAAAGACUAGGGACUCGGGAAUCACUUGUAGAGUUGUAGUGAGAAAAAGUUCAUAGUGCAAAAACAACCUCAGACUACUGGUUACUGAAGCAACCACAGAGUCAUCAUCACUCGUGAGUCGUGACCUGGGCCAAUGGUAACUGGCAGUAAGGCCCCAUGUUAUGGUUAUGGAAGUGACACUCUUUGCCCAUAUUUUUGUACUGUG